rnacentral:tRNA from 2 species
GGCGGAUGUAGCCAAGUGGAUCAAGGCAGUGGAUUGUGAAUCCACCAUGCGCGGG